rnacentral:rRNA from 1 species
ACGAACGCUGGCGGCAGGCUUAACACAUGCAAGUCGAGCGCCUCGCAAGAGGAGCGGCAGACGGGUGAGUAACACGUGGGAACAUACCCUUUACUACGGAACAACUCCGGGAAACUGGAGCUAAUACCGUAUGUGCCCUUCGGGGGAAAGAUUUAUCGGUAAAGGAUUGGCCCGCGUUGGAUUAGCUAGUUGGUGGGGUAAAGGCCUACCAAGGCGACGAUCCAUAGCUGGUCUGAGAGGAUGAUCAGCCACAUUGGGACUGAGACACGGCCCAAACUCCUACGGGAGGCAGCAGUGGGGAAUAUUGGACAAUGGGCGCAAGCCUGAUCCAGCCAUGCCGCGUGAGUGAUGAAGGCCUUAGGGUUGUAAAGCUCUUUCACCGAUGAAGAUAAUGACGGUAGUCGGAGAAGAAGCCCCGGCUAACUUCGU